rnacentral:rRNA from 1 species
CUCCAACCCCUGUGAACAUACCUUAAUGUUGCCUCGGCGGAUCAGCCCGCGCCCCGUAAAACGGGACGGCCCGCCAGAGGACCCAAACUCUAAUGUUUCUUAUUGUAACUUCUGAGUAAAACAAACAAAUAAAUCAAAACUUUCAACAACGGAUCUCUUGGUUCUGGCAUCGAUGAAGAACGCAGCAAAAUGCGAUAAGUAAUGUGAAUUGCAGAAUUCAGUGAAUCAUCGAAUCUUUGAACGCACAUUGCGCCCGCUGGUAUUCCGGCGGGCAUGCCUGUUCGAGCGUCAUUUCAACCCUCAAGCCCCCGGGUUUGGUGUUGGGGAUCGGCUCUGCCUUCUGGCGGUGCCGCCCCCGAAAUACAUUGGCGGUCUCGCUGCAGCCUCCAUUGCGUAGUAGCUAACACCUCGCAACUGGAACGCGGCGCGGCCAUGCCGUAAAACCCCAACUUCUGAAUGUUGACCUCGGAUCAGGUAGGAAUACCCGCUGAACUUAAGCAUAUCAAUAAGCGGAGGA